AGCCAAGUCAUGACCCAGUUUGGAUUAUCAUUUGGCAAAAGUAUGGUGAACCGCCGACCUUUGCCUGCACUAUCAAUGGCUUCAAAUUCCACUUUGUCAGUUCCUUCAGGUAUGCCUAGAUCCCUGACAAGAUUCUUGGGGAUUCUUAGCCCGUCCCUAACAUCGAUUUUUGACAGAUUUUUACGGAACAGCUCCUUGCCUGUGUAGCCAGGAGUCAAAAUAUUAGGAUCUGCAGAUAUGGGCCGAAGUGGGAUCCUCAAAGGAGUGAAGUGUGUUUCAAUGUUAUCAGCAAAUAUCCUCAUGUUAACGAGUGUCUCUGAAUAG
rnacentral:lncRNA from 1 species